rnacentral:rRNA from 1 species
UACGUAGGGUGCAAGCGUUAAUCGGAAUUACUGGGCGUAAAGCGUGCGCAGGCGGUUUUGUAAGUCUGUCGUGAAAUCCCCGGGCUCAACCUGGGAAUUGCGAUGGAGACUGCAAGGCUAGAAUCUGGCAGAGGGGGGUAGAAUUCCACGUGUAGCAGUGAAAUGCGUAGAGAUGUGGAGGAACACCGAUGGCGAAGGCAGCCCCCCUGGGUCAAGAUUGACGCUCAUGCACGAAAAGCGUGGGGAGCAAACAGG